UACAGAGGGUGCAAGCGUUAAUCGGAUUUACUGGGCGUAAAGCGUGAGUAGGUGGCUCGCUAAGUCGGGUGUGAAAGCCCCGGGCUCAACCUGGGAAUUGCAUUCGAGACUGAAUAGCUAGGGUACGGUAGAGGGAAGCGGAAUUUCCGGUGUAGCGGUGAAAUGCGUAGAUAUCGGAAGGAACAUCAGUGGCGAAAGCGGCUUCCUGGACCAGUACCGACGUUCAGGCACGAAAGCGUGGGGAGCAAACAGG
rnacentral:rRNA from 1 species